CACAGACAUCACAAGCACCUGUAUAUAAGAGACAGAUCGCCGUCUUAGAGAGGUCACUUUGAAAGCAAAUUCUCUCAGUCUUGGUCAAGAUGAACCGCUUCGUCACCCUCCUGCUGGCGCUCCUGCUGGUGGCGUCCCUCGCACAGGCGCAGGCUAACAGAGGCCAGACGACCAGCGGGAAGACCGGAGCACAGACAGACACUUCGGUUUUGGCGGUUUUGGCGGUUUGGCGGUUAUGGCGGUUAUGGCGGCUACGGCGGUUAUGGCGGUUAUGGCGGAUACGGUUAUGGAAAUCCCUAUGGCUACUACGGUUGAUUUUAUCCGGCCGAGAGGAUCGCUUCGGUGGAACGGAGGGCGGAGUUUGGCUUAUUUGUGAAUGUGCUUUUCAUUCUUUGAUGAAUGUCUCUUGUUUUCAAUUUUCUCCAUUUGUGUAAUCUUUUUUUUUUCUUUUUCAUUUUUGUUUCUUUUGCUGAAGCCCUUUUUUUGAUUUUUGAUUUGUUUUAUGAAUUUGAUGUACGGAUCGCAAUAAAUUUUGUCUGAGCAA